GCAAGUCGAACGGUAACAUGAGAGCUUGCUCUUUAUGACGCGUGGCGCACGCGUGCGUAACGCGUAUGCAACCUACCCUUUACUGGGGGAUAGCCCGGAGAAAUUCGGAUUAAUAUCCCAUGGUACUACAAUAUGGCAUCUGAAAGUAGUUAUAGAUUUAUUGGUAAAGGAUGGGCAUGCGUGACAUUAGUUAGUUGGUGAGGUAACGGCUCACCAAGACAACGAUGUCUAGGGGUUCUGAGAGGAAGGUC
rnacentral:rRNA from 1 species